UACGAAGGGGGCUAGCGUUGCUCGGAAUCACUGGGCGUAAAGCGCACGUAGGCGGCUUUCUAAGUCAGGGGUGAAAUCCUGGAGCUCAACUCCAGAACUGCCCUUGAUACUGGAAAGCUUGAGUUCGGGAGAGGUGAGUGGAACUGCGAGUGUAGAGGUGAAAUUCGUAGAUAUUCGCAAGAACACCAGUGGCGAAGGCGGCUCACUGGCCCGAUACUGACGCUGAGGUGCGAAAGCGUGGGGAGCAAACA
rnacentral:rRNA from 1 species